AUGUUGAAGGUUCCUGAUGCAUUCUUACAAGAAGCAACAAUCCAGAGGGAUAUGGGUGCCACGACGACACCAUCUUCUGCGUCGUCUGCCUUCCUCUCCUCCAGCGGGAGAGGCCCCUGCCUUCCUCUCCUCCCGCGUGGUGGAAGAUGGCCGCAGUUAACGGCGCUCCUGCGAGCGGGGGACACGAGUGCGGUGCAGACAGUGACCAGGUGUGACGAGACAGCCGCCGACCGCCUGUGGGCGGUUCUUUCAUGUGCUGUAGACCGUGCCAUUCUUUGA
rnacentral:rRNA from 1 species